rnacentral:misc_RNA from 1 species
GAUGAAGAACGCAGCGAAAUGCGAUAAGUAAUGUGAAUUGCAGAAUUCAGUGAAUCAUCGAAUCUUUGAACGCACAUUGCGCCCAUUAGUAUUCUGGCGGGCAUGCCUGUCCGAGCGUCAUUUCAACCCUCAAGCCCCCGGGCUUGGUGUUGGGGAUCGGCGAGCCUCCGCGCCCGCCGUCCCCUAAAUCUAGUGGCGGUCUCGCUGUAGCUUCCUCUGCGUAGUAGCACACCUCGCACUGGGAAACAGCGCGGCCACGCCGUUAAACCCCCAACUUCUGAACGUUUGACCUCGGAUCAGGUAGGAAUACCCGCUGAACUUAAGCAUAUCAAUAAGCGGAGGA